rnacentral:rRNA from 1 species
GGGUAAGUCCCGCAACGAGCGCAACCCUUAUCUUGUUGCCAAGCGUUNGGCCGGGAACUCAAAGGAGACUGCCGGUGAUAANCCGGAGGAAGGUGGGGAUGACGUCCAAGUCAUCAUGGCCCUUACGGCCAGGGCUACACACGUGCUACAAUGGCGCAUACAAAGAGAAGCGACCUCGCGAGAGCAAGCGGACCUCAUAAAGUGCGUCGUAGUCCGGAUUGGAGUCUGCAACUCGACUCCAUGAAGUCGGAAUCGCUAGUAAUCGUAGAUCAGAAUGCUACGGUGAAUACGUUCCCGGGCCUUGUACACACCGCCCGUCACACCAUGGGAGUGGGUUGCAAAAGAAGUAGGUAGCUUAACCUU